rnacentral:rRNA from 1 species
AGUGAACGCUGGCGGUAGGCCUAACACAUGCAAGUCGAACGGCAGCACAGUAAGAGCUUGCUCUUACGGGUGGCGAGUGGCGGACGGGUGAGGAAUACAUCGGAAUCUACUUUUUCGUGGGGGGUAACGUAGGGAAACUUACGCUAAUACCGCAUACGAACUACGGGUGAAAGCAGGGGAUCUUAGGACCUUGCGCGCUUGUAUGAGCCGAUGUCGGAUUAGCUAGUUGGCGGGGUAAAGGCCCACCAAGGCGACGAUCCGUAGCUGGUCUGAGAGGAUGAUCAGCCACACUGGAACUGAGACACGGUCCAGACUCCUACGGGAGGCAGCAGUGGGGAAUAUUGGACAAUGGGCGCAAGCCUGAUCCAGCCAUACCGCGUGGGUGAAGAAGGCCUUCGGGUUGUAAAGCCCUUUUGUUGGGAAAGAAAAGCAGCAGGUUAAUACCCCGCUGUUCUGACGGUACCCAAAGAAUAAGCACCGGCUAACUUCGUG